GGGGAUAUAGCUCAGUUGGUUAGAGCGUCUGCGUGGCACGCAGAAGGCCGCCGGUUCAAAUCCGGCUAUCUCCA
rnacentral:tRNA from 1 species